UCUAAGUAGUUUUAAAAUGUAGUAGAAUGUAGAACAUGAAUCUCACUUUCCAGCUUUGAUGCUAUCCAUUGCUUUUCAAUCUAACACAUUCUGAAGCUUGGUACUGAGUGUAUGCAAUUCUGCUAUAGCAGCCUGAAACCAACCAAGACA